rnacentral:rRNA from 1 species
UACGAAGGGUGCAAGCGUUACCCGGAAUUACUGGGCGUAAAGCGUGCGUAGGUGGUUCGUUAAGUCUGAUGUGAAAGCCCUGGGCUCAACCUGGGAAUGGCAUUGGAAACUGGCGAUCUAGAGUGCGGUAGAGGGUAGUGGAAUUCCCGGUGUAGCAGUGAAAUGCGUAGAGAUCGGGAGGAACAUCUGUGGCGAAGGCGACUGCCUGGACCAGCACUGACACUGAGGCACGAAAGCGUGGGGAGCAAACAGG